UACGGAGGGGGCGAGCGUUAUUCGGAAUUAUUGGGCGUAAAGGGCGCGUAGGCGGCUGUACAAGUCAAAGGUGAAAUCCCUCGGCUCAACUGAGGAACUGCCUUUGAAACUGUACGGCUUGAGGCCGGGAGGGGGUAGCGGAAUUCCCAGUGUAGCGGUGAAAUGCGUAGAUAUUGGGAGGAACACCAGUGGCGAAGGCGGCUACCUGGACCGGUUCUGACGCUGAUGCGCGAAAGCGUGGGUAGCAAGCAGA
rnacentral:rRNA from 1 species